rnacentral:rRNA from 1 species
UACAGAGGGUGCGAGCGUUAAUCGGAAUUACUGGGCGUAAAGCGUGCGUAGACGGUUAUUUAAGUCGGAUGUGAAAGCCCCGGGCUCAACCUGGGAAUUGCAUUCGAGACUGAAUAGCUAGGGUGCGGUAGGAAGGGAAGCGGAAUUUCCGGUGUAGCGGUGAAAUGCGUAGAUAAUCGGAAGGAACAUCAGUGGCGAAAGCGGCUUCCCUGGACCAGCACCGACGUCAGGCACGAAAGCCGUGGGGAGCAAACAGG